rnacentral:rRNA from 1 species
AACGAACGCUGGCGGCAUGCCUAACACAUGCAAGUCGAACGAGACCUUCGGGUCUAGUGGCGCACGGGUGCGUAACGCGUGGGAAUCUGCCCUUGGGUUCGGAAUAACAGUGAGAAAUUACUGCUAAUACCGGAUGAUGACGUAAGUCCAAAGAUUUAUCGCCCAAGGAUGAGCCCGCGUAAGAUUAGCUAGUUGGUGGGGUAAAGGCCUACCAAGGCGACGAUCUUUAGCUGGUCUGAGAGGAUGAUCAGCCACACUGGGACUGAGACACGGCCCAGACUCCUACGGGAGGCAGCAGUGGGGAAUAUUGGACAAUGGGCGAAAGCCUGAUCCAGCAAUGCCGCGUGAGUGAUGAAGGCCUUAGGGUUGUAAAGCUCUUUUACCAGGGAUGAUAAUGACAGUACCUGGAGAAUAAGCUCCGGCUAACUCCGUGCCAGCAGCCGCGGUAAU